GAAGCGGAUCAAAUGAUCGCUCGGUCCGCGGUGAAGCGGAACGGGAGGAAAGUCCGAGCUCCACAGGGCAGGAUGCUGGGUAACGCCCAGUCUCGGUGACGAGAAGGAAAGUGCCACAGAAAAGAUACCGCCCCGCCGUCAGGCGGGGUAAGGGUGAAAAGGCGGGGUAAGAGCCCACCGGUAUCCCGGGUGACCGGGAUAGCCUGGUAAACCCCAUCCGGAGCAAGACCGAAUAGGAGGGCGUUAAGGGUGGCCCGCCCGAAGCCCUCGGGUUGGUCGCUUGAGGUCGGGAGCAAUCCCGAUCCUUAGAGGAAUGAUCAUUGUCCCCGCCGUCGGGCGGGGAAACAGAACUCGGCUUACGGUCCGCUUCCACC
rnacentral:RNase_P_RNA from 1 species